CACAGCUCCUUAAUGAGUCUUGGAAAAAAAGAUAUAAUUUUAAUGUGGUCUUGAUUGCUUUAUUCUCAGGUCAGCCUGAGAAUUUUCUCAUGACGUUAAUUAUUCAUUUUUGUAAGAAGCCUGCAUAAAUAAAAGUACAAGUACCGGGUGUCCAGUGUGGCAUUUCAGGAGCUUGGAGAAAGAGGAUAGAGAAGGAACCGGAAGACAGUAAAGGUCAUAAAUGAUGUACCUUUUACAUCUGGCAGAGGGCCAGGACAGUUCUGGGGUUCAUAUUUCUCUCCUUCUCUACUCUGAGGUUUAUACGGCCCCCCCACCGCCCCCAAGAUCACCUUGAUGGGACAAUUUGGCCUAUCCAGGCAGGAUCAACAAGAGGAAUUCAAGGAGAAAGCAAAUUGUUUUGCAAAUAGAGUAAGAUAUGUUUUGCAUUUCCAAAGGCAAUGCAAGAAGGAAGGACAAACGGAGGUGGGAACAGGCUCAAUCCAAGACGAGGUGAGAAGAGCUAGGGAAGACAGAGAAUCCAAAGAGGGCAAGAGGCAGUGUGUAUCCUGUACGCCAGUGCCCCAGCUUCUAGCUAUAUUUUUGUCCCCACCAGGCCUGAAGCAUGACUCAGCACUUAAUUACAUUCCCAGAGGAAAAUCCACCUCACAAGCAUGACUGGUGAUUUCAGUGGAAGAGUCAGAAGAAGCUUUUACAUCUCGCACAGUCCUCAUCAAUUCCUUCCUGAUCUGUCCUUUCAUCUCAGUCCCCACUCAGAGGCUCUGCCUGCUGGAGAGAGGAGUGGGAGAAAUGUCCUUCUUCAAAGCCAGCUUCACAGGCCCAUAGCCGUUGAGGUUGCAUAGGGCCCCAAGCUGAAAGAGCCCCAUUUAAGAUUUAAUGCUGUGCUCAUGCCCUCUUAAAAUUAUUGCUGAACUCUGCUCUGUAAGUGAAGUCCAUGGGGCAGCAGCACAUGCGCAGGAGCAUGGAGGAGGCGUAAUAUGCAUGUCAGCUGCUCUUUGCUGCCCAUUCCCAUAGAACAUUUGCAAUGCCCCAGCAGCAGAGGAUGGAUGCUGGCGGUGAGAGGUGAAGCCGGCUGGGCUUCUGGGUGGGGUGGGGACUUGGAGAACUUUUCUGUCUAGCUAAACGAUUGUAAACGCACCAAUCAGCACUCUGUGUCUAGCUAAAGGUUUGUUACAGACCAAUCGGUCUGUAAAACAGACCAAUCAGCUCUCUGUAAAAUGGACCAAUCAGCAGGAUGUGGGUGGGUCCAGAUAAGGGAAUAAAAGCAGGCCACCCAAGCCAGCAGCGGCAACCCGCUUGGGUCCCCUUCCACGCCGUGGAAGCUUUGUUCUUUUGCUCUUUGCAAUAAAUCAUGCUGCUGCUCACUCUUUGGGUCCACAACACCUUUAUGAGCUGUAACACUCACCACAAAGGUCUGCAGCUUCACUCCUGAAGCCAUAGAGACCAUGAACCCACCGGGGAGGACCAGACAACUCCAGACGCACUGCCUUUAAGAGCUGUAACACUCACGGCGAAGGUCUGCAGCUUCACUCCUGAAGUCAGUGAGACCAGGAACCCACCCAGAGGAACGAACAACUCCAGACGCGCCGCCUUUAUGAACUGUAACACUCACUGCGAAGGUCUGCAGCUUCACUCCUGAAGUCCGCAAGACCACGAACCCACCAAAAGGAAAAAACUCUGGACAUGUUCGAACAUCAGAAGGAACAAACUCCGGACACACCAUCUUUAAGAACUGUAACACUCACCACCAGGGUCCGCGGCUUCAUUCUUGAAGUCAGCAAGACCAAGAACCCACCAAUUCCGGACCCAGUGGUUCCAUGGAGUGUGGAGGUUCAGCAAGACUCAAAGUGAGAACGUCACCAACAAACUGAGUAUGUCACCAACAAACUAAAUUCUUUCCCAAGUUGAUGUCGGUCUCAAAGAAAGAAUAUCCAAUUGGAAAAGGCCGUCAGGUUUCAUUCACUGGCCAGAGAAUGAAGAACGUGAUCUCUUGCUCUAAAUGCACCUUCUCCCUAAACAAUAGAAGGCGUGGGGUUGUGAAGGACUGGGUACAGGGAGGGAGAGGCAUUGUUAGCAUGUGGAGGGUGGGACUCCAGACACCCAAGCUCAAAUUUAUAAAAAUUUCUUCAUAUAUCACAUGUACACAAAAUGGUAGAGAUUUUCUU
rnacentral:lncRNA from 10 species